UCAGAUGACAACACAGAGAGAGAAACAACCAUGCCCAGAGCGGGAUUUGAACCCGCAGCCAUUGACAUCGCAGUCAGGCACGCUAACCACUCGGCCAUCUGACCGGCGUGUCACUUAAUAUAACAUGAAGUCUCUGUUGGUUUCUAUAGAUUUCAAUUUACUGGUUUUAAUCAUUGUAAUUAUAAUUAGCUAAUCAGAUCACACUACUUACAUAGGCUGGAAAAAAACCUGGAAUAGAAAAAUCCACGUUUGUUCUUAUUGUCCAUAUAAAACACAUAAUAAAAGCCACAUGGAUCAACACAUUCGACUACACACUGGCGAGAGACCUUUUAAAUGUGACAUCUGCUCAAAAACUUUCAUCUCACAAUGGAAUCUGAAGUCACACCAACUUGUACAUAGAUUUGAUCUUUGAAUAUUAAAGACAUUUCU